rnacentral:rRNA from 1 species
UAUCUCUGUAGAGUCUGCAUAUCAAUAAGCGGAGGAAAAGAAACUAACAAGGAUUCCCUUAGUAACGGCGAGUGAAGCGGGAAGAGCUCAAAUUUGAAAUCUUCAAGGUUCUACCUUGACGAAUUGUAGUUUAAAGAAGUGUUUUCUGUUAGAUGAGUAGCAAAAGUUCCUUGGAAUGGGACAUCAUAGAGGGUGAGAAUCCCGUAUUUGGUUAUUCAUUCUAGCUUUGUGAUACACUUUCAAAGAGUCGGAUUGUUUGGGAAUGCAGUCCAAAAUGGGUGGUAAAUUUCAUCUAAAGCUAAAUAUUGGCGAGAGACCGAUAGCGAACAAGUACCGUGAGGGAAAGAUGAAAAGAACUUUGAAAAGAGAGUUAAACAGUACGUGAAAUUGUCAAAAGGGAAGCGUUUGACACCAGUGUUGUCUUUCCGAAAAUCAAUUACGAAUGGCUUGAUUUUGUGUUGUAUUGACCUUAUCAGCUUUCUUCACUUUUUUCGAGUCUUUCUUAAUGCACUUUUCGGUUAACAAGUCAACAUCAAUUUCUUUUGUUGUAAAAGAGUAUUCGGAAGGUGGCUUUCUUUUCGGAGAAAGUGUUUAUAGCCCUAUACUUCUACAAUCGGAGAGAUUGAGGUCUGCAGCGUAGAUCCUUCGGGGUUAGAUACACUUGUGCUAAGUUGUAGCUUUUCAUAGACAACUUGUUGACUAUGUUUAGUCAUGCGGCUUACUCGCUUGUGCUAUUUUACCUACGCUUAGGAUGUUGACUGAUAUGUAGUCGUA